GGACACUGAAGACUAUAAGCAGAAAGUUCAAGUCUGGGUGGCCAAAAGUUACAUUUCAGUGAUCUGGUUACCGCCUCUCUCUGCAAACCCAAAGGAUCACUUUCCUCAGCGGAUCUACCCCAAUCAUCAUUAACGGGACCACAGUGGAGAGAGUGAGCAUCUUCAAUACCUUCAAAUGUCCUGCAAAGAGUAGCUGAGCACAUGUCGAGAACAUCUCUCCCCUCUCUGCAAGACAUCCACACCAGAAGAUGUAAAUCUAGGGCUGUUAAGAUCCUUAAAGACCCCACCAACCCAUCUGCUACAGUCAGGCAGACGCUUCUGCAGUCUGAUGGCAAAGACGGAGAGGCUCAGGAGGAGUUUCUUCCCUCAUGUUAUCAGACUACUAAACAUGGACAUUAAACACACUGCACUUUAUAGACUGGUUGUUUAGGGCUACCCAAUAACUCUCUGCACACUGCGCUUUUUUGACAACCUAACUAUGCAACUCAUCCUCACUGCACAUUGUUUACAUCUCUGCACAUCAUCUGUGUAGCAGUUUCUAUGUACCAUUUCUACAAAUCAUCUGUGUAGAAGUUUAAUACAGUAUAUUGUGUAUAUUUCAUUAUUUGUAUUUAAUUAUCUCCAAAAAAAAAAAAUUUUGUAUUUUUUUCCUGUUGUUUCAUUAUUUGUAUUUAAUUUUCUCUUAUUUUUUUUUGCACAGUCUAAAAAGAGUAUGCCAGACCUACAUUUCACUGCUUUUUGCAUGUCAUAUAACAAAUAAAACUUGAAUUUUUAAUGGUUUGGAGCGUUACCUGUGAUU